rnacentral:rRNA from 1 species
UACGGAGGGUGCAAGCGUUAUCCGAAGUUACUGGGCGUAAAGCGCGCGUAGGCGGGUCAUUAAGUGGGAAGUGAAAGGCUGGGGCUCAACCCCGUGCAGUGCUUCUCAUACUGGUGGUCUUGAGUGAGGUAGGGAGAAGUGGAAUGGCUGGUGUAGCGGUGAAAUGCGUAGAUAUCAGUCGGAACACCGGUGGCGAAGGCGGCUUCUUGGGCCUUUACUGACGCUGAGGCGCGAAAGCCAGGGGAGCGAACGGG